rnacentral:lncRNA from 1 species
AGGAAACAGUUUAGCAGCAGUAAUAUUUUCAAAUAAGUUUCACGCCUUUUUCAUCUGAUCCCUGGACUCUAAUCAAAGCAAAGGAUAACUCUGAGACAGCUCCCAACUCUGGGAUGCUCCCCAUCUGGGUUAAGUACAGCCUGGAGGAAAUGAUUUUGGAAUGAAGCCUGAUACAGAGGAUGGGAAGAAAAGCCAAGCCACCAUGAAGUUUUCUAACAAUUUUCUGCAACUUUGAUCUGUACCCUUUGAUUUUCGGCUGUGGUUCUAACAGUUAGCUGGUGUUGAAGUGAGUGCCACAAAAAAGAACUUAUUUCCAGCACAGCUGCCCUUCUUUACCUAUGAACCCUAUUGCACAUCACUGUGACCUAAGGACAAGGACUGUCAGCUCAAUGAGAUCUAUAACCGGAAUUUCAGAAACACCUGCUCCAUAG